rnacentral:tRNA from 1 species
UUCGAAUUUUGAUAUUAGAAUUUAAAAUUCUAAUAUCAAAAUCUAUGGAGUUAAAUUGAA